rnacentral:tRNA from 1 species
GGGGAGUUAGCUCAGUUGGUAGAGCGUCGGCUUUGCAAGCCGAAGGCCAGCGGUUCGAAUCCGCUACUCUCCA